UACGUAGGGGGCAAGCGUUGUCCGGAUUCAUUGGGCGUAAAGAGCGUGUAGGCGGCCAGGUAGGUCGGUUGUGAAAACUGGAGGCUCAACCUUCAGAGGUCGACCGAAACCAUCUGGCUAGAGUCCGGAAGAGGAGAGUGGAAUUCCUGGUGUAGCGGUGAAAUGCGCAGAUAUCAGGAAGAACACCAAUGGCGAAAGCAGCUCUCUGGGACGGUACUGACGCUGAGACGCGAAAGCGUGGGGAGCGAACAGG
rnacentral:rRNA from 1 species